UGAUGGCUCAAGGUUUCUUUCAUUUCUAAAAGUUUUUUAGAUAUGGCCAAAUCUUUAAAUACUUGACUUUCGGGGACUAAAAUGAUAUUUUCCAAAAGAAGUGAUUUUGAAAUUAUUCUUUAUCAAAAUCAAAGAUCUAAAAAUAUGGGUUACAAAAAUUCAAACGGAUUGAAAAAUAGAUUUCUAUAGCCUAAGUUAUGAUUUUUCAAAGAAUUUAAUGAAAUAUUUUUUGCCCCCUAAAGCCAACCUUCGGCUUCCGAAAGUCAGGGACAGAGGCGAAAGUCCCACAUGUUCGGCCGCUGAACAAUGACUUUCGGCCGCCGAAAGUGUGUUUUCAGCCUGCCCCCU
rnacentral:lncRNA from 1 species